GACGAACCGUGCGAACGUUAUUCGGAAUCACUGGGCUUAAAGGGUGCGUAGGCUGCGAGGAGGGUGGGGUGUGAAAUCCCUCGGCUUAACCGAGGAAUUGCGCUCCAAACCGCCUUGCUGGAGUCAGACAGAGGUGAGCGGAACUAAUGGUGGAGCGGUGAAAUGCGUUGAUAUCAUUAGGAACACCAGAGGCGAAGGCGGCUCACUGGGUCUCAACUGACGCUGAUGCACGAAAGCUAGGGUAGCGAACGGG
rnacentral:rRNA from 1 species